rnacentral:rRNA from 1 species
UACGAAGGGGGCGAGCGUUGUUCGGAUUUACUGGGCGUAAAGGGCGCGUAGGCGGCGAUAUAAGUCAGGCGUGAAAGCCCCGGGCUCAACCUGGGAACGGCGCUUGGGACUAUAUUGCUGGAGUUCGGGAGAGGAGCGUGGAAUUCCCAGUGUAGAGGUGAAAUUCGUAGAUAUUGGGAAGAACACCGGUGGCGAAGGCGGCGCUCUGGACCGAGACUGACGCUGAGGCGCGAAAGCGUGGGGAGCAAACAGG